rnacentral:rRNA from 1 species
AUAUCAAUAAGCGGAGGAAAAGAAACUAACAAGGAUUCCCCUAGUAACUGCGAGUGAAGAGGGAAAAGCUCAAAUUUGAAAUCUGGCAGCCUUGCUGUCCGAGUUGUAAUUUAGAGAAGUGUUACCUGCGCUGGGCCGUGUAUAAGUCUCCUGGAAUGGAGCGUCAUAGAGGGUGAGAAUCCCGUCUUUGACACGGACUUGCCAGGGCAUUGUGGUGCGCUCUCGAAGAGUCGAGUUGUUUGGGAAUGCAGCUCUAAAUGGGUGGUAAAUUCCAUCUAAAGCUAAAUAUUGGCGAGAGACCGAUAGCGAACAAGUACCGUGAGGGAAAGAUGAAAAGAACUUUGGAAAGAGAGUUAAACAGUACGUGAAAUUGCUGAAAGGGAAACGCUUGAAGUCAGUCGCGUUGGCCGGGGAUCAGCCUUGCUUCUUGUGAGGUGUACUUCCUGGUUGACGGGUCAGCAUCAGUUUCGACCAUUGGAAAAAGGCUUGGGGAAUGUGGCACCUUCGGGUGUGUUAUAGCCCCUUGUUGUAUACAGUGGUUGGGACUGAGGAACUCAGCACGCCGCAAGGCCGGGUUUCGACCACGUUCGUGCUUAGGAUGCUGGCAAAAUGGCUUUAAGYGACCCGUCUUGAAACACGGACCAAGGAGUCUAACAUGCUUGCGAGUGUUUGGGUGGAAAACCCGAGCGCGUAAUGAAAGUGAAAGUUGGGAUCUCUGUCGUGGAGAGCACCGACGCCCGGACCUGAUGUUUACUGACGGAUCUGCGGUAGAGCACGUAUGUUGGGACCCGAAAGAUGGUGAACUAUGCCUGAAUAGGGCGAAGCCAGAGGAAACUCUGGUGGAGGCUCGUAGCGAUUCUGACGUGCAAAUCGAUCGUCGAAUUUGGGUAUAGGGGC